CCCCUCUCGGGGUCACACCUGGAGAGUUUCCAGUAGUCUACCAGUCUCGGCUAUGGGGGGAAGAGUCAAGCAGAGUCCUACCCAUUCCAUUCCUAGCUUGGCCAGUGACUAGCGAGUGGAAGGCCACCUGCUACAAGG
rfam:Ornithorhynchus anatinus chromosome X1, whole genome shotgun sequence.